rnacentral:lncRNA from 1 species
CGACCUUGGCCCUGGUGAUGAUAUACCACACAUGGCAAAGAUUAAAUUGGCUGCCUUUCAGUCGCCCACCUCUGGAUGGCUCGUCAUCAUCGACAUGUGACGUUGAGAAUGCUGAAGAGCAGGACUCGUGGAAGAUAGCGCUCGGAAACAAAUUCAAGAAUGCAAGGAGGCAUAUGACAGGAGAUGAGCGCCUAAAGGAGAAUAGACAGAAGUUUGCCACAAAGAAGACAUCCACAA